UUCUUACCAUGUAUCCUGGGCUGGCCUCAAACUCAGGCUCCUCCUUCCUCAACCUCCUGAGUGCAAGCAUAUGCCACCACAUCUACUUACCAGACUUGUCUUGACCACUAACUGGCUGGGUGUCUCUGAACAGGCCACAUGUGUGAGUGCUGAGGGUCCUCCCAUCCCUGACAGGGUUUGAAUUUUCGAGCAAAUGGGAAAAGGUACUGGGAGCAACAACAGAUUGCUGCUAAACACACUUGGUUCUUGGGUGCUGCCCCUCCCUAUCCUGGCCAACAUGGGAUUCCAGUCACAAAAGGACUUCAGGCCCAGGCCCAAUGAAGCUUCUGCCCGUGACAUCCGGCUCAGAAGAGCAGAGUGAUGAGCUGAGAGAUUCGAGAUCAACUCAAGACCCCCAAUUGUAUUGCCCAAGGAGCCAGGGAGAUGCUGUAUGUGUGGUCUUUUAUCCGAACUAUAGGAUUCCAAGGGAGAUACUAUCAUCCCAUCUCAUACAGAAAUAAGAGUGGCAGGGAAAAGAGAAGUCUGAAGUACAUGAAAACACGGGCUUCGGAGCUAGAGGAAGCUGGCCUUCUUAAAUACCGUCUCCCACUUCCAUGCUGUGACCUUGAUAAACCUAUUCAAGAUACCCACCUUGCUGAUUAGAAAAAAGAUUAAGAUGAAAUGGACUCGGCGCACCUGGUAGGCACUCCCCUUAAUGAUUACAACUGAAGAACUAUCUCAGAGGUUUCUGACCUAGGGCUAAAUUGCUUUCACUCUCUAAUGACUAAUGGAUUGGCGGGAUGGUCUAAGCUUUUGUCCUGGCCACCUGAACUGCUCAGCCCUGGGAGUCUUGACAAGCAAUUUCCUUGGAAUUAGCUUAAUAAUGCCUCGUAGGUGUGUGAUGCAUUUCAAAGAACUUUCCCAUCAUUAUCUUGGGUCCUAGCCGGCAGCUGGGCUCAGAGAGAAGUGGCUUGCUCCAGGUCACAUGGCACAUGAGCCUGCAGCUUUCCCUGGUGUUAACUUCUAAGUGAACAGAAGGCAGACUACUGUGGUAG
rnacentral:lncRNA from 1 species